rnacentral:tRNA from 1 species
UUUAAGGUGGCCGAGUAAGUAGGUGAAAGAUUGUAAAUCUUUUUACGGGGAGAACCCUCUUAAAG